rnacentral:misc_RNA from 1 species
GAUGAAGAACGUAGCGAAAUGCGAUAAGUAAUGUGAAUUGCAGAAUUCAGUGAAUCAUCGAAUCUUUGAACGCGCAUUGCGCCCGCCAGCAUUCUGGCGGGCAUGCCUGUUCGAGCGUCAUUUCAACCCUCGAGCCCCCCCGGGGGCCUCGGUGUUGGGGGACGGCACACCAGCCGCCCCCGAAAUGCAGUGGCGACCCCGCCGCAGCCUCCCCUGCGUAGUAGCACACACCUCGCACCGGAGCGCGGAGGCGGUCACGCCGUAAAACGCCCAACUUUCUUAGAGUUGACCUCGGAUCAGGUAGGAAUACCCGCUGAACUUAAGCAUAUCAAUAAGCGGAGGA